UAGAAUAUAUAUUUAAGAGCUUUAUACCAAGAAAUUUGCCUUGAAAGCUGCUAUUCCAUGGCGGGAAAAGUAUAACAAGUUCUUAUCUGAUUUUUUUUCUUUUCAGACGGUAUUUCCAAUCUCCUUAGAUUUUGUAGGAGAAGACAAAUAUAAAUACAUAUCUGCACAUUAUUUUUAGCAGUUGUGUGCGUAAGAAUAAUGAGAUUUAUAUUUUAAGGGCUUUGUCAUGUGGAUGUUUUACCACUGAAGUUGAUUCCUCAGAGUAUCUUUUAUAGUAGGACUUUAAUAUUGUUGAUCUAUUACCUUGAUGACAUUAGUUCCCCACACUUGAGCCCAUCUAUCUUUCUAGCUAUGACUUGGUUAUGAGCAGUGUUUGGACUCACUGUGCAAAUGUCCAUGUAUCACCUAAUUAAGCAUCAUCAUAGGGCCAUAACUGAAGGAAGUUGAAUGAGGUGAACGUAGACAUAGCUCUUUCCCCUUCCCCCUUUUUUAAAUGUAACAAAUACUUUUUAUGUUCCCCUUCCCCUUUCCUCCUUCCCCUUUCCCCCUUUUGGAAACGUGUUACUAGUUUAAGACCAGCAAUUGAGGGACUGAGAAAGCGAACCACACAGAAGCUGGCUUCUUUGUGUUUUAUCUUAAGCUGUGCUGCUGGUUAGGUUACUUUAAGCACACGUUUAACAAGGAAACCUCACGGAAAAUCCAGCUGGCAGACUCAGGAGUUCAGGAAACAGGAUCACAGAGGUUGUACUCUGGGAUCCUGGACAUGAGGUUGGAUGCCUCACCUUAUUGAAAAAGAGACACUGGACCUAAAUGGCGCAGCAUGAUUUUGUUCCUGCUUGGCUAAAUUUCUCAACACCACAGUCAACUAAGUCCCCUACUGCCACCUUUGAAAAACACAGAGAGCACCUAUCCCGGGAGAAGGUCGAUUUGGAGUGAGCCGUCGUCGACAUAAUUCCUCCAAUGGCUUUUUUAACAAUGGAUCCCUACAAACUACAGGAGAUUCCUGGCACCAGCCCUCCCUGUUCUGCCAUGAUUCUGCGGACUCUAGUGUCUCAAAGGGAGCAUAUGCUGGAAUCCCAGGGAACCCGUCUGGUUGGCAUGGCUCUUCCCGAGGUCAUGAUUGCAUGAGCCAGCAUAGUGGAGGUGGUGUGGGGAACCAUCGCCAUUGGAAUGGCAGCUUCCAUUCUCGUAAAGGCUGCUCCUUUCAGGAAAGGCCACCUACGGAGAUUAGGGAAGAAAAGAAAGAAGACAAGGUGGAAAAGUUGCAGUUUGAAGAAGACGACUUUCCUUCUUUGAAUCCAGAAGCUGGCAAACAGAAUCAGCCAUGCAGACCUUUUGGGACGCCUUCUGGAGUGUGGGAAAACCCACCUAGUGCCAAGCAACCCUCCAAAAUGCUAGUUAUCAAAAGUUUCCAAAGAGGAUCCUGCUGCUGCCUUUUCUGCAGCAUUCACCUCACCAGGAUCUCACCAUGCAAAUGGGAACAAAUCAUUAUCCAUAGUUCCAAGUGUCUAGAAGAACCUGGUUCCCAAGCCUGUACCACCUCCUUCUAAGCCCAGUACAUGGAAAGCUAACAGAAUGGAACACAAAUCAGGAUCCCUUUCUUCUAGCCAGGAGUGUGUUUUUAGCAGUCCAAUCUCUGUCACUAAACCAGUGCUACUGGCUGCUGGUGCAGUUCUGAGUUGUCCCAAAGAGAGUCCUUCUAGCACCACCCCUCCAAUUGAGAUCAGCUCUUCUCGUCUGACGAAGUUGACCCGUCGAACCACUGACAGGAAGAGUGAAUUCCUAAAGACUCUGAAGGAUGGCCGGAAUGGAGAUUUCUCAGACAACAGAGACUGUGAUAAGCUGGAGGAUUUGGAGGAUGACAGCACACCUGAACCAAAGCAAAAUGGAGAGGAAAGCUGUCAUCAGAAUGGUCUUGCUCUCCCCAUACUGGAAGAAGGGGAGGUUCUCUCACACUCUCUGGAAGCUGAGCACAGGUUAUUGAAAGCAAUGGGAUGGCAGGAAUAUCCUGAAAAUGAUGAGAAUUGCCUUCCCCUCACAGAGGAUGAGCUCAAAGAAUUCCACAUGAAGACAGAGCAGCUGAAAAGAAAUGGCUUUGGAAAGAAUGGCAUUUUGCAGAGCCGCAGUUCCAGCCUGUUCUCCCCUUGGAGAAGCACUUGUAAAGCAGAGUUUGAGGAUUCAGACACAGAAACCAGUAGCAGUGAAACAUCAGAUGACGAUGCCUGGAAAUAAGCAUAUAAUAAUGCUCGCAGUAAAAUCUGACCCAGUAAACUCUGUUUAGGGAGUAUACAAAAGAAAUUGUUCUUUUCCUUUAUGUUAAUACUUUAUGCACAAGGGAAAUAAUGAUAUCCCAAAGAGAGCGAUUGGCUUGUUUAGCUUUUGUGUUCUUUUCUGUUAUCUGCUUAAUAGAGAAGUUUGUGUGGUGGGAAAGAUUUUUAAAAUACACACAUGCAGAGUAUAUAUGGGGCAAUGCACGAGUGGAAGCUGGCAAUGCGGAGAAGAGAACGCUGGUCUACAGCAACAGCUUCUACUACCAGCCCUCCGGGCACUCACCCCUGUGCUCAAGCAAUCAUUGUCAAUGACAGAGUGACUGUUGAAGUUAUAAUUGUAUUAAAGUAAUAAUACAAUUAUACAAUUAUGUAUUAUGUAUAUAAUAAUACAAUUAUCUAAUAAUUUGAAUAUUUUAUUUUAUUUUUGGCUGCCGGGGUAACUUUAGCCCUUAACCAAGCAUAUGUGGUUUUUUUUUCCCUUUUUCCUCUUGGGUACAGCUGUAAAAAAUUUGGAUAUAGGAAAUGUGUUAUUUUUGCAGCCUUGAUAUUCAGGGUGGAUUGUAAAAUAUAAAUUUUUGUGAUAUUUCAAAGAUUAAGACUGUUUUGAUAACAUUAUUUACAGAUUUAAAAAAGAUGUGGUUAUCACAAGUCUGUUAAGGGGGAAAACUACUGCAUAAAAUAACUAACUUGGAAUAAAUACUUUGCAUCAGUUUG